rnacentral:lncRNA from 1 species
AAAAAAGACGCAAACUAACCCUUGACAACUUGCAGAGCGCAGGAAAUUGUGUUGGCCACAGAGAAAAUGAAUCAGCAAGCAUACCGAAUGAAAAUGAGGACAUGACCACUCCUAGCUGGAAAGCAGCCAGACGGGCGGACCGGCGGCCUUGAGGAUGCGAGGAUUGGUGUGGAUCCAAGAAAAAGUCUGGAGACCUAUUGCUGAGACCACCGACCUAUCUGCUAAAAAUACAUUGCACUUUUCCAGGGGAGACAUUUUCUCUGAGAGGCAGAGCAACCGAAUCAAAUAAAAGUGCUGAAAACGGAAAAAAAAGCCAAGUGGAAAAUGAGGAGUAACGAUAUUUUAAAGAAGAAGAAAAGUGAUGUUUUUGAGAUAGUCUUACUUUGUAGCCAUGCUUGACUCACUGGCAGAAAAAUUAUUUUAUUCUUUUUUUCCCCUUACUGUCCUUCACCGUCACACUUGUUUUGUGCAGACAAUGAUCAAACCCAGUGUUUUGGGCGUGCUUGGCGAGCUCCCUAACUGAGACACAGCCUAAUUGUUCUAACUUCUUAGCCAAAUGAAAGUCAUCAUAAAAUAAAGCAAAACAAAACCUUGGAAACAAGCUCUAUAGAGUGUCUUCAAAUUGGUGCACACCAUUUCUCCAAAGGAGCGAAAAGAAAUAUAGGCAAUAUUUUUCCUAUUCCUUCCUCCCACCCCCUGCCUUGUGCACAUGCUCUAUUACUAGGAGUGGCACUCCCAGGCUUAUACUUCUGAACUCUAAUCACUGCUCAUC